ensembl:Mt_tRNA
GGAAAUGUGCCUGAGCUUAAAGGGUAACUUUGAUAGAGUUAAUAACAGAGAUUUGAACCCUCUCAUUUCCU